GCCUGGCUGGCUCAGUCGGUAGAGCGUGCAGCUCUUGAUCUCAAGGUCGUGAGUUCAAGCCCCACGUCGGGCU
rnacentral:tRNA from 1 species